UUGUACUUAAGCUUCCUAGUUAUGGUAA
rnacentral:sRNA from 1 species